AUCGCUUCUCAGCCUUUUGGCUAAGAUCAAAGUGCAGAACUGUUCUUAUCAGCUUAAUAUCUGAUACGGUUCUUAUUUGGGGCCAUCGAUAUUAAACUGAUUUUUAGAACAAGGCGAAAUGUUAGGGGCUUGCUCCGCCUUUGCCACGAUUUUCUUCAAUAGGUGCCGGAGUGGCUGUGUGGUAAGUAGCUUGC